CAUGCAAGUCGAGCGGUAACAGGGGUAGCUUGCUACCCGCUGACGAGCGGCGGACGGGUGAGUAAUGCAUGGGAAUCUGCCCGAUAGUGGGGGAUAACUCGGGGAAACCCGAGCUAAUACCGCAUACGUCCUACGGGAGAAAGCAGGGGAUCUUCGGACCUUGCGCUAUCGGAUGAGCCCAUGUCGGAUUAGCUUGUUGGUGAGGUAACGGCUCACCAAGGCUGCGAUCCGUAGCUGGUCUGAGAGGAUGAUCAGCCACACCGGGACUGAGACACGGCCCGGACUCCUACGGGAGGCAGCAGUGGGGAAUAUUGGACAAUGGGGGAAACCCUGAUCCAGCCAUGCCGCGUGUGUGAAGAAGGCCUUAGGGUUGUAAAGCACUUUCAGUGGGGAAGAAGGCAUGAUGAUUAAUACUCGUCAUGAAGGACAUCACCCACAGAAGAAGCACCGGCUAACUCCGUGCCAGCAGCCGCGGUAAUACGGAGGGUGCAAGCGUUAAUCGGAAUUACUGGGCGUAAAGGGCGCGUAGGCGGCUUGCCAAGCCGGAUGUGAAAGCCCCGGGCUCAACCCGGGAACGGCAUUCGGAACUGGCAGGCUAGAGUGCAGGAGAGGAAGGUGGAAUUCCCGGUGUAGCGGUGAAAUGCGUAGAGAUCGGGAGGAAUACCAGUGGCGAAGGCGGCCUUCUGGACUGACACUGACGCUGAGGCGCGAAAGCGUGGGUAGCAAACAGGAUUAGAUACCCUGGUAGUCCACGCCGUAAACGAUGUCGACCAGCCGUUGGACCCCUUGAGGGUUUGGUGGCGCAGUUAACGCAAUAAGUCGACCGCCUGGGGAGUACGGCCGCAAGGCUAAAACUCAAAUGAAUUGACGGGGGCCCGCACAAGCGGUGGAGCAUGUGGUUUAAUUCGAUGCAACGCGAAGAACCUUACCUGCUCUUGACAUCCUGCGAAUCUCCCAGAGAUGGGAGAGUGCCUUCGGGAACGCA
rnacentral:rRNA from 1 species